ensembl:lncRNA
UAUGGGGCUUUAUGGAGUGCUAUGGGGCGCUAUGGGGCGCUAUGGGGCUCUAUGAGACUCUAUGAGGUGGGGUGAUGGGGUUAUGGGGUGACAGUGGGAUGGGGUGAUGGGAUUAUGAACCUGAACCCCAUUACGGCCCCACAGCUGCGAUCCCAUAUAAGAAUGAAGCACAAUUCCCUUAUUUUUUGGGGUGAAAUGGGGUGAAAUGGGGGCCGGAGGGGUUUAAUGGGGGCGGUUUUGGGGUGCUGUGAUGGAAUUUGGGGGAAGUUCGGACAAAAUGGGGGCGGUUUCUGCCCUAAAAGGAAAGAUCCCAUAACCGUCCCCUACACCGAAGGGCAAAAAUGUCCCAUUUCGGCCCCGAAAGGAAGAAGGAAAAGUCCCGUUUUGAACCCAAAAUGAUGGGGGGUGGGGGGAUGGGGUUAUGGGGUCAUGGCGUUAUGGGGUGAUGGGGUUAUGGGGUGAUGGGGUUAUGGGGUGACAAUGUUAUGGGGUGGCAGUGUGGUGGGGUGACAAUGUGAUGGGGUGAUGGGGUUAUGGGGUGACAAUGUGAUGGGGUUAUGGGGUUACAGUGUUAUGGGGUGACAAUGUUAUGGGGUGACAACGUGAUGGGGUUAUGGGGUGACAACGUGACGGGGUUGACAACAUCACGAUGGGGUGGUGGGGUUAUGGGGUGAACCCCAUUUGGGGUCUUCCCAGUUCAAUCCCAAAUGUAUUUGGGGUCUUCUCAGUUCAAUCCCAGUCCUAUUGGGGUCCUCCCAGUUCAAUCCCAAAUGCAUUUGGGGUCUUCCCAGUUCAAUCCCAGUUCAGUUGGGGUCUUUCCAGUUCAACCUCAAAUGCAUUUGGGGUCUUCUCAGUUCAAUCCCAGUCCUAUUGGGGUCCUCCCAGUUCAAUCCCAAAUGCAUUUGGGGUCCUCCCAGUUCAAUCCCAGUUCAAUUGGGGUCUUCCCAGUUCAAUCCCAGUCCUAUUGGGGUCCUCGCAGUUCAAUCCCAGUUCAAUUGGGGUCUUCCCAGUUCAAUUCCAGUUCAGUUGGGGUCUUCCCAGUUCAAUCCCAAAUGCAUUUGGGGUCUUCCCAGUUCAUUCCCAGUUCAGUUGGGGUCUUCCCAGUUCAAAACCAGUUCAUUUGGGGUCUUUCCAGUUCAACCCCAAAUGCAUUUGGGGUCUUCCCAGUUCAAUCCCAGUUCAAUUGGGGUCUUCCCAGUUCAACCCCAAAUGCAUUUGGGGUCUUCUCAGUUCAUUCCCAGUCCUAUUGGGGUCCUCCCAGUUCAAUCCCAAAUGCAUUUGGGGUCCUCCCAGUUCAAUCCCAGUUCAAUUGGGGUCCUCCCAGUUCAAUCCCAAAUGCAUUUGGGGUCUUCCCAGUUCAUUCCCAGUUCAGUUGGGGUCUUCCCCAUUCAUUCCCAGUUCAAUUGGGGUCUUUCCAGUUCAACCCCAAAUGCAUUUGGGGUCUUCCCAGUUCAAUCCCAGUCCUAUUGGGGUCUUCUCAGUUCACUCAUUCACUCAGUUCACUCUGUUGCUGUCGAAUUUGGGGUUGGGGUUAUGGGGUGUGGG